UGCACUAAGACCAAACCAACUUUCCAUAGACUUUAUCUAUUAUUUUUUUUCCCAAAAAUUACUAGAAAACUAGAUUAAUCCCUAAACUAAAUCCCAUUCCCAGCACCCCCUCGCCCAUUCCAUUCCCCCAUUUGUUUCAUUUUACUUUGUCUUUAACUUAUUGUUUCUUCCUUCUUUUUCAAUUUAUACCCGUUAAACACAUUCCUCUUCAAGUCAAAGCUUUCUUUUCCCUUCCUCUUUGCAUUAUGGUGAUUUAGGAGUACCUUUUGAAAGAAACUUGCAAAGAUUUGAGGAAAGAAUCUCAUUGAAGAAUCCGUUCAAGUUCAAGAUAUUAAAACAGCUCUGUUCGUGAAUCAUUAUUUGGAUUUCUGGUUUUCUUAUGAAUUUGGCACUCCACGAACCGGUUAGUUUCUUGAACGACGCAUUAUGAUUCCUUUACGUGUUGGUUGUUGUUAGAAUAGACUAGUCAUUCUCUUUAGUUUUGUAUUUUGUACACUCUUGGCCAUGCCGAGAUGCCGAGUGUCGUGCGGCACUCUAUUGAAAUUAUGCCAAUAUAAUAACCAGGUAUGUCUCUUAAAUUCAGGUGUGUUUUUGAUCUUUUGACUUUACGUGUGAGUUUUUGAAUAUGAGACGACCUGACUAUAAAUGUUUUUAGGAUUUGUUCUGGAACCCUGGUAACUAGGAAAUCAUUUCUUUUAUUUAGGACUAAAGAUUGCAUAAAUAAGAGAAACACCAACUUAUCUGCUAUGUUCAACGAUUUAGUUUAGGAAUUCUGCCUAAAAGACUUCGAAUGAUAUUUGUAAGUUCCAUGAUCUUCAUUCUGUGAAUAUAGCUGAAUUCAGGUUGCAUAGGUAUCAUUUCAGCGAGUAUUUCUUAGUUAAUAAAAGGAGACAUUGAAUUGUUAAAACUUCAUCCCUUAAACCUUAAGAUUGUUUGCCGGUCUUAUGUGGUUAAAACUACCUUGCCUAAAUCAGUGCACUUGUUUUGCCACUUAGACACCAUGUUUAGGAUUAAAUGACCUAAUAUACUGCAUGUCCAGUUGUGGAUAGUAUGUCGGAAGCUAAGAGUUAUAUUCGUUUGCUUUGUUGGCUAUAAAUUUACUUCCAUGAUGUUCUCAAACACGGAUACCAUGUCCUUAGAAUUUUAAUUCAUCUAGAUAUUCAGUCUAUGGAUAAAACAUCCAGAUAACUUGUUAUCCAUAAUGCUUGUACUUUAAUUUGUUUGAGUAAUUGUUUAUCUGAUUUGAACACUAGAAAUGCUCUAAUUAGGAACUAACAGUAAGAGAAGUCAACAACUUUGUUUGUGUUAAAGGCUAGCGAGUUGUAUUUCUCAGCAUGUUCUUUAUCUUUACAUGACUAAAUUGCAAAUAGUUUGAACCAAAUACUUGAAGUUAUAUUAUUUGGAAGUAACGAGUUAAAUCUAUUUUCGCGAUAAUUCGAUCUCCAUGUGCGUUGCAUAUGUGUUCCGGUUGGGCUAUGGUGUUAUAGGAUGGCUUAAUUCGAGCAUUGAGCGAGGAUUUGGAGUCGCCUGGGAAGAGGAAGGUUUAAGAAUUAUUGUGUUGGAAUUUACUUUGCGCCUGAAGCUCAUUAGUUUAGCAUGUGUUGUAAUGUUGGCCUUAUAAUGCUACAAAUAAUCUAUAAUUGUGUAAAAGGGAUGAUUGGGGCUGGAACUUGUUUGUCACUUGUUGCUGCUAUGUGCUAUUUGCUAUCAUGGUUUGUUUCUAUUUUUACUAAUCAUUGAAGUCAUGCUUUCAUUUUCAAUAUUAUUACCAUGCUUAUAGAAUUUAAGUAACAGGGAGAAGUGAUUUUC